rnacentral:piRNA from 2 species
GGAAUUCUGUUAACAAAUCACUGGAGGC